ensembl:snRNA U2 U2 spliceosomal RNA
AUUGCUCCUCAGCUUUUUGGCUAAGAUCAACUGUACUAUCUGUUCUUAUUAAUUUAAUAUCUGAUAGUCCUCUUUCUGAGGAGAAUACAUUACAUGGAUUUUUGGAGCAGGGAGAUAGAAUACGGCUUGCUCCAUCCACGCCACACAUUGACCUGGUAUUGCAGAACUUCAGGAAUGGUACACACCCC